UGCACGUUGUCAUUYGUAGUGUUAGUGUAAUGUGAUCAUCAGCUUCAUGUGUUAUGUUCUCGUGCAGUGUGUUCAUCAAUUGGAUUUUACUGUGUGUGUAUCGGAUAGUUUACAUGUGAAACCAUUUGAUGAAUAAAUCGAAUCAGUGCAUAUGAA